rnacentral:lncRNA from 1 species
ACACAGAUGGGAUUUGGGAAUAGGUUUGGUUAUCCAAGGAGCAGUGCUGAGCUCCUUGCUAAUGGGAUAUGGGAUGCUGGUGAUUUCCAGGAAGUGACCUCACAAUGACUCAAGCUACCACAUACUGUUGAUUGUGAAAUGCCAGUUGAAGCAUAUGUCCUGCGAGCUUAGGGGUGCUACAAGUUGACCACUGCAGCAGUAAAGAUGACUCUGAAGAAUGGCAUGGGAUGGAUCCUUUCGAAUGCACUUGAGCAGCAGUCUCCAACCACAGGGCCACAGAGCUGGAGGAUGGA